CUUUCUUUGCUGGCGACCGGCGCACGGGUGAGUAACACGUACCCAACCUGCCCUUUACUCGGGGAUAGCCUUUCGAAAGAAAGAUUAAUACCCGAUAGCAUAAUGAUUCCGCAUGGUUUCAUUAUUAAAGGAUUCCGGUAAAGGAUGGGGAUGCGUUCCAUUAGGUUGUUGGUGAGGUAACGGCUCACCAAGCCUUCGAUGGAUAGGGGUUCUGAGAGGAAGGUCCCCCACAUUGGAACUGAGACACGGUCCAA
rnacentral:rRNA from 1 species